GAGGAGGAGGAGGAGGAGGAGGAACAGGGAGAUGAGGAGGAGGAGGAAUAGGAGGAGUAGGCUACCUUGAGACACCACUCCGGACCCGGUGGGACACGUGCUGUGUCGGAUGCACAUAUCGAAAUCGGGCGCGUGGUAGUGUCCCGCGACGCAGCGGCAGGCGGUGUCCAGGGCGGCCGAGCACUGCGCGUGCACCUCUUGGUUCCGGCUGCACGCGCCGCACGGGAUGCACGCCUCGAUGUAGUUCCAGAGCUCCGUGAACGAUCCCGGUGGACACGCGGCGCAAGCGCUCUUCCGCGUGCCCGUGCACGGCGCGUGGAGGUAGGUGCCGGGCGCGCAGCGGUCGCAGGUGAGGAUGACACCGGAGUCGGGGUCCGUCCUCUGGUAGGUGGUCGACCCCGUGGUCAGCGGACCUGUUGACCUACUGGUUGACCCGUUAGUUGACAGACUGGUCAACAGACUGGUCGACCCGUUCGUCGUGAACCCGUUGGUCGGGGGCGGGAGUACGCACAAAAACAGCGCGAACAUCUGGAGGAACUGAAACACAAUAUGGAGCAGAAGCUGUAAGGAUCAGGCCAACCAGUCACAAGUCAUCAUCUCCACAGCUCGUCAGAAGAUCACUUACACACACUUCACCCCCACCACAUGCUUUAGUGGAGGGGGAAAUGAUGGAACAUCAGAAAGCACACCGCUCCUCAGAGCUUCCUCUUAAUGGCGGCCGUAGGGCGGGCCUUCAACUGAAGCAGCUCUGUGAUUGGUCGCCCGCUGCCCUGGUAGAAAUCCAAUCCAGUGAUCCACUCCACAUCUCGGACCCGUGAUUGGUGGAACCACAUGAGGUCUUCAACCCAAUGAGAUUCACUCUCUGCACUCUGUGAACCGACAUUAUUCAUCCUGAAGGGUUUUGUGGAAAUGCAUUUUUCUCUAGAAUACAAGGCAAGCAAUCAAACUAGUUUAAACCUUCCUUCAACGGGUUGAGCUGAGGAAUAACUAAUAACUAACCAGUCCUUCACCUGGUUGAGCUGAGGAAUAACUAAUAACUAACCAGUCCUUCACCUGGUUGAGCUGAGGAAUAACUAAUAACUAACCAGUCCUUCACCUGGUUGAGCUGAGGAAUAACUAAUAACAAACCAGUCCUUCACCUGGUUGAGCUGAGGAAUAACUAAUAACUAACCAGUCCUUCACCUGGUUGAGCUGAGGAAUAACUAAUAACUAACCAGUCCUUCACCUGGUUGAGCUGAGGAAUAACUUCACCUGGAAACCAAGAUUACCAGGAGCCUGAGUUUAGCAGGAGACUUAGUUUAGGCUGAGUUUAGCAGGAGCCUGAGUUUACCUGGCAGCUCUCGGCGUUGUCGCGGCGAUGCGGCAGCAGGAAGCAGACGGUGCUCAGGCUCCCGGAGCAGGCAGCCGGCGUCUGGGCCAUGUCGGAGCAGCUGGUCAGGACCGCAAAGUAGUGCGUGGGGACGGGGACGGAGGAGCCGGGGACGAACCUGUGGAGCGCACGGAGACACCAGGAGACCACGCCCGUCAGAGUGGGUCCACGGAGCGCCACAGACAACCUAGCAACAGCGGCGUUGUACUCAUGGAAACGUACUCAUGGAUCUGGUCCUGGGAGUCAAAGCGCCCGUCGUAGUUGUAGUCAAAGGCGGGUCCGGUGACCACGUUGAUGCCCCCGUACUGCUGGGAGUACUUCUUCAGCAGAGUACCCUGGAAGUAAUCCCAGAUCUCUGGAAAGGGGGAGAGAUAAAGACAUGAAGCAUCGCACUCAUUCAUUCAAGGAGAUCUAAAACCUCGCCUUCCACCAAACACAUGGGGUCUACUCAACUGACAGAGAGACAGAUGGGAGAGAGA